rnacentral:rRNA from 1 species
AGCGAACGCUGGCGGCAGGCUUAACACAUGCAAGUCGAGCGGGCAUCCUUGUGGUGUCCGCGGCCGACGGGUGAGUAACGCGUGGGAACGUGCCCUUCGGUUCGGAAUAACUCAGGGAAACUUGAGCUAAUACCGGAUACGUGCGAGAGCAGAAAGGUUUAUCUGCCGAAGGAUCGGCCCGCGUCUGAUUAGCUAGUUGGUGAGGUUAUGGCUCACCAAGGCGACGAUCAGUAGCUGGUCUGAGAGGAUGAUCAGCCACACUGGGACUGAGACACGGCCCAGACUCCUACGGGAGGCAGCAGUGGGGAAUAUUGGACAAUGGGGGCAACCCUGAUCCAGCCAUGCCGCGUGAGUGAUGACGGCCUUAGGGUUGUAAAGCUCUUUUCUUCGGGACGAUAAUGACGGUACCGGAGGAAUAAGCCCCGGCUAACUUCGUG